GAACAGUCUAUACUCAACACACAACCAAAGAAUCAAAGUUCACUUUCAGAUCAAAGGGACUCUGUCCAGUGUUGGCCAGAAGGAGAGGCAGCUGGUCCCACACCCUGUGGGCAGGAAAGCACAAAGAUAAGGAAAGUGAGACCUAGAGACUUCAAUCAAAAGGCUGAAGAAUCACAGAACAGAAUCACGGGUUCCCAGAUGAGAAACCUGAGCCCCAGAAAGCUGAAAGUACUUGCCCAAGAUCUUACAGCUAAUAAGUGACAAAGCUAGAGAUCAAACCCAGCAGUCUGGCUCCAAAGCCCAGGCUCUUCACCAAUGCAUCAAAGGAGCAAGUUCAAACCCAGGAGCCAAGGAGGAAGAGAAAAACACAGAGGCUCCCGAGAGCUCCCCAACAUGGUGCCGCCUCCUCCACCUGGACAUGGAGGUCAUUCCACUUGACAGAAAGGUCUCCUACCUCCUCCUGGCCCUGCCUCCAGGUUACUGGGUGUCAUCAGGCAAGUCCUUUAGGCUCUCUGCCACAGUCUCCCCCAGUGGAGAAGACAAUAUCUAUACAAGGGAUGAUUGGGAAGGCCCCAUUCACCCAUUGCAAUCAGCCCUUCUCUGCUUAGUACUGUACAAUCUAGAAAGGAAGUUUAACCCCAUGCCACUAUUUCCAGCUUCAUAAUAUCCCUCCUCUUGGGCACUAGAGCCUCAGGUCGUCCACAUCCCCUUUCAUUCACCGAGUACAGGCUACUUCCUUCUCUCUACACCCUCCAACAGCUGCCAGCUGGGUGAGAGACCGACCGAGCUCUGCUGGACAUGUCUAAUCAGAGGCUCAUGUGGGGUCCCAGCCUUCUUCUUCCCAAGUACCUGGUGGCUCUGGUCCUGUAGCCACCUCUCACCAGUGGACCAUUGGCAGAACUGAUGUGUGCUACUUCUGCUCACCCUAGACAUCUGCCUCUUUCCUCCUCCACCCCCCCAAGAGCAGCACCACACCAGCACGCCAGCUUCAGCCAUACCAAUGAAGAUAACACCCUAGUGGAUGGGGAGAAACCGUAACCUCAGAGGACACACAGCUGCCCCCCCAGCUGGGACCAACCAGCUGGACCGUUGCUGCACUUCCCUCAUAUUGGAGCCAGAGCAUAUUUGGUCCCCGUAAGACAACAGGAUACAUAUGAGGCUAUUUAUAAAGGCCACAUCUAGGAAGGCAAGCCACUUGCAGCUCCCACUGUCCUAUCUGCAGAAAGUCACCCCAUGUCCAGCAGAUCUAAAUCCCAAAAUAGACAGUGGUCAUGUGUCCACUAUUCCCAAGCUUUCCUAUUUGUGAAAAGAACAUCUGUGGCCACUUGGUGUCCUGGAGAUUUCAUGUGCUACCCCAGUCUGUAUCCUAGAGCAAAGAUAUCUACUCACUUGAUUAAAU